rnacentral:lncRNA from 1 species
AGGGGGGCCAUUCUUUAGCAACCCUGUCUAGUUGUUUAGAGACGUAGGCUACCGGCCUCAGCCAGGGCCCCACAGUUUGGGUUAAAAGUCCAGCUGCCAUCUUUUCUCUCUCUGACGCAUACAAUGGAAAAGGCUUUGUCAGAUCGGGUAGCCCCAGGGCUGGGGCUGCCAGAAGAUUUUCUUAUAACUAAUGAAAGACUUGCUGUUGUCGGGAUCCCCAUUUCAAAGGUUCCGGGUCCCCGCCCCCUUUGUGACCUCAUACAAAGGCUUGGCUAAUACUGCAACGUUUGGGAUCCACAGCCUACAAAACCCCACAGCUCCUAAGAAUUCUCUCACCUGCCUUCUGCCCUUAAGCUCCGGUAGAUUGCAAAUAACCUGCUUUCUUUCUGUUCCUGAGCUGCGUUCGGACCCCUGUCGUAUUGUAAAUCCCACGCAAGGUACCUGCCGUCGGAAGAUUUGAGCUUUCUUCUUGAACACCUCAUACCCACAGUCCUCCAGAAGGACAACAGGUACAAAGUCCUAAGGAUUAUAAAGGUAUGCUGCUUGCCAUCAUCUUAGUGACCAAGGCAGCGAAGCUGUUUCUGUACCUUGGAACAGUCUUCCCUGACAAGCCAGAGAACAGCGAUAAAGCCACCAGCCUUGGGAUCAGGACUGAAAAGGCAAGAGUGAUGGAGAUUUCUCCUGCGCUAAGCCAAGAGAAGGUUUCAGCACCUCAGACAGCUCCCACCGAAGUAGCGGCGCUCCCAGCUGCUUGCAGAUGUGGAAAAGGAAAGCCUCGGUUUGUCUUGAGGUUGUCAGCAGUUGCAAGACACGUAAUAAAAUGCAAUGUGUUCCUAAUUCAUUGCAUAUCCUCAGCUUUAAAUUUGGGUAGCAAAAUGAUUACUCUAGAUUCUUCAGCCUUGCCUUGGCAAGUAUCUGUACCUAAAAAGCAGUUUUUCUACCUAAUCUCUUUUUUUGUUUUUGUUUUUCAAUACACUUUAAGCAAAUUGAAGCUUUUGUUCCUGGAGGAAAAGUGGUUUGAUAUGUUCAUCUAUCUUUUAGUAAAUUUGGGGGCAUAACUUUUCCUAUUCUGAGGAACUUUUCUAAGAAGAGUGCAUAAAAGUUUGUUGUUGUUUUUAAAGGAUGCAACAUUC